rnacentral:rRNA from 1 species
UGGGGAAUAUUGCACAAUGGGCGCAAGCCUGAUGCAGCGACGCCGCGUGAGGGAUGACGGCCUUCGGGUUGUAAACCUCUGUUAGCAGGGAAGAAGAGAAAUUGACGGUACCUGCAGAGAGAGCGCCGGCUAACUACGUGCCAGCAGCCGCGGUAAUACGUAGGGCGCGAGCGUUGUCCGGAAUUAUUGGGCGUAAAGAGCUUGUAGGCGGUUUGUCGCGUCUGCUGUGAAAGGCCGGGGCUUAACCCCGUGUAUUGCAGUGGGUACGGGCAGACUAGAGUGCAGUAGGGGAGACUGGAACUCCUGGUGUAGCGGUGGAAUGCGCAGAUAUCAGGAAGAACACCGAUGGCGAAGGCAGGUCUCUGGGCUGUAACUGACGCUGAGAAGCGAAAGCAUGGGGAGCGAACAGGAUUAGAUACCCUGGUAGUCCAUGCCGUAAACGUUGGGCACUAGGUGUGGGGGACAUUCCACGUUUUCCGCGCCGUAGCUAACGCAUUAAGUGCCCCGCCUGGGGAGUACGGCCGCAAGGCUA